rnacentral:rRNA from 1 species
UACAGAGGGGGCAAGCGUUGUUCGGAAUUACUGGGCGUAAAGGGCGCGUAGGCGGCCUGCUAAGUCGAACGUGAAAUCCCCGGGCUCAACCCGGGAACUGCGUCCGAUACUGGUUGGCUUGAAUCCGGGAGAGGGAUGCGGAAUUCCAGGUGUAGCGGUGAAAUGCGUAGAUAUCUGGAGGAACAUCAGUGGCGAAAGCGGCUUCCUGGUCCAGCACCGACGUUCAGGCACGAAAGCGUGGGGAGCAAACAGG